UAAGGAAAAAUUACCAUGUUGUAAAAGAAGAAGAAAAGAUUUGCCAUGCUGACAGAAAAAAAACAUGCUGAAGACUGCCAUGGCAAUUUUAGGAAUUGUGAACUUGGGUGAAAAUUGCCAUCAUAGAAAACAAAAAAUCAUCACUAUGUACAUGGCCAAAAAAAUGUGUGAAUGUGUCAUGGCAAAAAAGUAGAUUAUAUUGCCAUGGCAAUUUACAGAAUGUAAAGAAGUCUAUAUUUGCCAUCUUUCUACACAAAACUGACCCCAAAAUGCCAUGUUUUAAAUGGGAGCUAACUGAAAAAAGCAUCUAUAGAUUAACUUGAGAGCAGUAACAACUUGGGAGUGGAGAGUUGGGGAGAGACAGAUGGAAAACCAUUGCAAAUGUAGUUUAUUUAUCAUGGCAAAAAUAUUUAUUCGACCAGGUCAAGCAAAACUAGUAAGUCACCUGGUGCUGCAGUGCUUGUUUAUGAUCACUAGCACUGAUGGCGAAGUCGACCACAAAACCACAAUUACUGACCUGAUUCACAGUCCAAUCAAGAACAAAACUAAAGAAAAAAUGGAAUUUUCUCACUCAAUGCUCCAUGGACACUCCAGGUGCAGAAGCUAAUAUGACUGCACUAUCUCAAAUAAAAUCCUUAAAACACAAAGUGCAUCGAGCUCAUCAAAAAAUAGAUUGUACAACUAACUGAACCGAACCGAUCAUCCCACGUAUGUGAAUUGAGCUACAUUUUUUCAGAACAAAGAAACAACGGUCACCUGAUUUGCCUUUGUCGAGGAACCUGCAGAGCUCCGAUGCCCUUGCAAAUCGCAAGCAUCGUCAAACUGACAAGGAAAUCAGAAUCCAACGCGGGGGAGGGGAGGCCCGGAGGCGGUCGAGGCCGUCACACUCACACUCGAACCGGGCGAUAGCCUCAUAGGGGCGGCGCUCCUCGUCGGGGCAAGGUACUGUGGGGUUGAAACUGCCAUGAAAAAAUGAUUGAAGUAAAAAUAUCUUCUAUGCAGUGAUGACAAAAAUAGUAUGUGUUUGCCAUAGCAGAAAAUUGUUCUCCCUGAGCAAACAAAAUGGCAAGAAUUAUAGUGGUACCCAUGCCAACUAGCCAUUCACUGCAUAUAUGGAAGUGCCAUAGAUUAUCCCUAUCAAUUAUAAAACCAGAUCAAAUAACUACUGCCAUGACAUCUCUAUCAAUGUGCUUAUAUAAUGCCGGCGUCUGAAAUGAAACACAGGCACAAGAUAUGCAUUAGAGAAGGAACCAAAAACAUCGAUUGGGGAUGGGACCUUGAAUUCAGCUCCAUGGCGUCUAUUGUCUGCGUGAGCACGGAGCAGGCGGAGCACGGCCCCGUAGUCACCGACCAGUGGUGCCACGACCGCCUCCGCCUUGCGCCUCAUCGGUCCCCGUCGUCGUCUCGGAAGAGGAAGAUGGCCUUCUCGUCGGCGGCGUGGAAGAGCAAGCGAGCAUGCGUAAAUUGAGGAGGGCCUCCGGCUCGUGGGCGGCGCCAUAGGCACGCCCCGCCUCACCUGAAGAUGGCACCACCCCCUCCCUCUGCAAAUUCAUGGGGACUCGUCGUCGCUCCCCUCCACGAGCAGGACCUCCACCAGCCACUCCUCACACUGCGGCGAGGGCCCGUGGAGGGCGAGUCCGUCUUCGCCGACGAGAGGACGCCGCGGAGGAGGAGACCAUCGUGUCGCCCAAUCGAUGCAUCCAUGGCGCUGUCCCAGGAAGCUCGUUGCUGGGCCUCCGCCUCCGUCGUCCACCGGAACCACCUGAGUCGUCCCUCUCCCUUGCUGUGCACGCUGGGAAUCGAUGCUCUAUCCCUGCAGUGCUCGUUGGGAAUCACCGGAGUCGCCGCUCCCUCCGCCUUGCUACUGGGGUGUGAGUGGCCUGUGUGUGUGGCCGAAUGGAUAAGGGAAGGGGGAGGAGACGUGGUCGUUCGGUCAGCUCGAGAAAGUCCCGAACAAUUUUUU
rnacentral:lncRNA from 1 species